rnacentral:rRNA from 1 species
AGGGGUCGCGUCCUUGGUGAUUCAUAAUAACUCGUCGAAUCGCAUAGGCCUUGUGCCCGGCGAUGCUUCAUUCAACAUAUCUGCCCUAUCAACUUUCGAUGGUAGGAUAGUGGCCUACCAUGGUUUCAACGGGUAACGGGGAAUUAGGGUUCUAUUCCGGAGAGGGAGCCUGAGAAACGGUACCACAUCCAAGGAAGGCAGCAGGCGCGCAAAUUACCCAAUCCCGACACGGGGAGGUAGUGACAAUAAAUACUGAUACAGGGCCCUUUCGGGUCUUGUAAUUGGAAUGAGUACAAUUUAAAUCCCUUAACGAGGAACAAUUGGAGGGCAAGUCUGGUGCCAGCAGCCGCGGUAAUUCCAGCUCCAAUAGCGUAUAUUAAAAGUUGUUGCAGUUACAAAGCUCGUAGUUGAACCUUGGGCCUGGCUGGCCGGGUCCGCUCACCGGUGCACUGGUCCGGCCGGGCCUUUCCUCCUGGGGAGCCGAAUGCCCUUCACUGGGGUGUGUCGGGGAAACCAGGCACUUUUACUUUG